GUGACAUACCUUAAUGUUGCCUCGGCGGAUCAGCCCGCGCCCCGUAAAACGGGACGGCCCGCCAGAGGACCCAAACUCUAAUGUUUCUUAUUGUAACUUCUGAGUAAAACAAACAAAUAAAUCAAAACUUUCAACAACGGAUCUCUUGGUUCUGGCAUCGAUGAAGAACGCAGCAAAAUGCGAUAAGUAAUGUGAAUUGCAGAAUUCAGUGAAUCAUCGAAUCUUUGAACGCACAUUGCGCCCGCUGGUAUUCCGGCGGGCAUGCCUGUUCGAGCGUCAUUUCAACCCUCAAGCCCCCGGGUUUGGUGUUGGGGAUCGGCUCUGCCCUUCUGGGCGGUGCCGCCCCCGAAAUACAUUGGCGGUCUCGCUGCAGCCUCCAUUGCGUAGUAGCUAACACCUCGCAACUGGAACGCGGCGCGGCCAUGCCGUAAAACCCCAACUUCUGAAUGUUGACCUCGGAUCAGGUAGGAAUACCCGCUGAACUUAAGCAUAUCAAUA
rnacentral:rRNA from 1 species